UCUCUUUCUCUCACCUUACCUCCUUAUUAAUUUCUCUAGGUAUCAUUCUCGCUAAUAUCUAGUACCCCCUCCCUUUUUGAGGAAGGUCAGUAAAUAUUGACUGAGCACCUGCUGUGUUUCAGAGCACUUUAUUCCCUUCUCCUGACUUCCCAAAGAAAUAAAAGAAACGGUCCCUGCAGUAGAGAGAGAAAACACUUUCGGAAAACAAGAGAAGCCCAUCAUCUUGAGGAGGAAAGAUCUUUUCAUUUACUUCUCCAUUCUAAGAGGCGCUUUUCGUCACUACGAGUUUCCUGGUAGAAUUGUAGCAAAGUUCCGUUUCAGAAAAUGUCUUUCUGCGGAGUACGAGUUGACUAAUGCUACUUCCUGAAAAUAAAAAAGUGGCUAAGUGGGUGAAGCGAACUCUUGGAGGGGCACGCUGCUGAAGGACCCAGACUCCUCAAAUAGCAUGGUCUCAUUGCUACCACCAAAGAAGCCAUGCAUCCAUUAGAGGAGUUAGUGGUCUGCAGUGAAGUCCUCGUGGGACCUCGUGGCUUGUUCAACCGAUUCCAUUUUUUCCCUGGACCCCGAGAUCUUCUCAGAUGAUAAAACCGUCUAUUCACGCCACAGAACCGGAACCUCAUUUCAACUCUCAUGAAUUCACUAUUUCAUGUCUGCCUACUAAGACAACCAACGUCCCCACCCAAGCCAAUCCCUCUUUUGGAGCGCCCCUAACCUGGCCCACAGAGAGGGAUCGACACUAAUUCCCAAAUGUGUAGAUUCUAAGGCUUUUGUAAAAGGAAGUGGUGCCUUGAGACUUCUACCCUGGUCCCUCUUGGUUUCUUUCAGAUCCUCGGGCUGGUGCUGGAGGUAGCCCUUCCAGGUUUCCUCUUGAAACCAGGUGUUUCCCAAGGAUCUAAAGUGUGUUAUUUGGAAUGGCCUCAGUGAAGUGAGAGAAAAGAUGACAUCUGAUGUGACCUUGUGGAAGUUUAUGGUCUAAUGAGUGCCCUUGGGCGGAGGAGGCUAGACUGAGACACAAAGACUCCUAUCUUUCUCAGUUCAAUAUUCUUCAUGUCCGAAGAGACAGCUGCGCUACCUUCGAGGCCAUAACUUGCAUAAAUAAUCAUCACUUUUGGAAAAAUAACUUGGUGAAGAAAGUGCUAGUGACAGAAUGCGGAACAAGUCCAAGUGUAUUUAAAUUCCAUUGGUAACAGUAUUUACUGAACGCCUACUAUGUUCGCGUUUCAAUAUGUUCGUUUCUCCCUUUUUUCCCCUCCUCCUGAAGACAUUAAACCUGAUUUAAGUUCAGCUCCUUAAUAUUGUUGAAAAUUUAAAUGGUAAUAGCAACUAUAAGUCAAAGGAGGUACUGAGUUCUUCCCCCAUUAUGAAGUUGGUUGUGGUGUUCUUUUUCAGGGCUUGGCAUCAAGAAGAAACUAUGGAACAAGAGAUGAGGAUGCCUCCUCACAUAAGCUGAGGCCCACCUGAUUCAACGCAGUCUCCUUUUGGGUCAUAGUGGUGGGAGAAGGUCCGGUUUGGGGGGUUUGGGGUUUUUUGGCUUUGCUUUGUUUUGUUUUUGUGUAGGGUGAAGGUCACAGAUUUGGAACCCUGCUUUGUAUUGCAGAAGAGAGGUGACCUGGAGGGUAAGAUGUCUACUGCUUCUGCUAUAAUCCUUCUUAAUGGAAAAGAGCCAGAUGUACAAAGAAAUAUCAUCAGGUCACUGUUCUUAAUCUUGUUAGGUUAGAAAAUGGGAACCUCAGGAAAAGAUGCUAUUAACUAAAUGUCAACCCGCAGCAUGUAAAAUUCCUUGGACCCAAACUUCAAAAACAAGGGAGUGAAAGAUGCCAUGUGAGAAAGAGGAAUCGUGUGAUUUCUUAGUCUAGCGCCGAUCCAAGUAGGGUUUUAUUGCUUCCAUACCAGUGCUUCACGAUAUUUUAAUUUGACAAUUAAAAUAUGCACCAGAUUGCUCCAGAACAAAUCUUCUAAAUUAAGAAAAAUGAAAAGGAGGGGGAGCAGGAAGAGGGAUGAAAAAGGAGGAAUAGUUUCAUUUGUACUAGGGGAAAACUGAAGUCUGCAAAGUUUUAGAAAUCUUGGAAAACUUGAAAUGAAAAGCCAAGAUCUUGUUUUCGUCGUGAUUUAGCAGCCAAACUUCUUGUUUCAUAACAAUAUAAAUGGGAGGUCACAUAAUAGGUUAAAAACUAGAAGGUCAAAUUCUACAAAAAGGGGAGCUUUAUUCAAGUAUAGAUUGAAAAAGCAAAAAGCAGAAAAUUGGCUAGAGGAUGCAUUUCCAUCCCC